AUGGCAUUUUUCUGUAUCUCCAUCUCCCUCCACCUACCCAUCUCCAUCUUUUCAUAUCUGUCCCCAAUCCCCCUCCUCCCUCCAUCUCUCAUCUCCCUCCAUCUUAUCUUCAUCCUUCCCCCAUCUUUUCUUCAUCUCUCUCCCAUCUCGUCCCAUCUCUUCCUCUUCUCUCUCCCAUCUCCUCUCCCCCUAUCUCUUCUCCAGCUCUCAUCUCUUCCUUAUUUCUCUCCCACCUCUCCCCAUCUCUCUCAUCUCUCUCCAUCUCUCCCUCAUCUCUCCCCCAUCUCCCAUCUCUCAUCUCUCUCAUCUCUCUCCAUCUCUCCCUCAUCUCUCCCCCAUUUCUCCCCCUCUUUCAUCUCUCUUCCAUCUCUUAUCCGCUUCUCCCACAUCUUUCCUUCAUCUCUCCCCAUCUCUCUCGCUUUCCCCCAUCUCUCUCCUUGCCCCCCCACCCCCCGGCUCCCCCUCCCUGGGCCAGCUCAUUUCCGUGUUGGUUUUGAUUUCUCUUCCCGACGCUUUCAACUCCCCGCCGCCUCCUCCGGACACGUUAUAACGAGGAGCCGGGGGACCGCCCGCCCGCUCCCUCCCAAGCCCUCCCCCACUGCUGCCAACCCUCAGUUUCCCCCUCCCUUGUCUCUCUGCCUCAGUCUCUGUCUCUGCCCCUCUUUGUUUCUUCUUCUCUGCCUCUAUCGCACUCUUCCCUCUGUCUCUCUGUCUCUGUUUCUGUCUCUCUCUUUUCUUGCACUAUUCUUUUCCGGGUCUGGCUCUGUGCGGCUGUGGCUCCAUUUUCAUUUCUUAUCUCUCUCCGUCUCUGUUUCUCCCAGUGUCCUCACUGAUUCUGUCUCUGUCGCUUUCCUCUGUCCUUUUUCUCAGGCCUGGCCGGGUGGGUGUGUGUGUGUGUGUGUGUGUGUGUGUGUGUGUGUGUGUGUGUGUGUGUGUGUCUUUUCUCUGUCUCCAUCUCUGGGCCCUCCGUUGGCUUUUCUGUCAGUCUUUUUGUGUCUCCCCAUUCUCUUUACUCUGUCAUUUUCUCCAGGCCCAGGUACAUGUGUGUAUUGUCUCUGUCUCUGUCUCUCUCCAUCUCUCAGUCUCUGCAUCUCUGUUUUGCAUCUGUUGUGUGUCUUUACCCAUCUGGAUAUCUCUGUGGAGUUGGUAUCUCUUUAUCUUCCUGCCCGCGUCCUCUCUUUUUCUUUACAUUCCGGCGUCUCUCUUCUCGCUCUCUCCCCUCCUCUCUCUCUCUUUUUCUGGGUAUCUGUUGCGGAUCCCUCUCAGUCUCUUUUUCCUGGACAUGUCUCUUUCACUCUCCCAUACUUGCUUCUAUUUCUGAGUCUCUGUCCCAAUCCCUGUCUGAAUUUUUGUGGCCAUGCCUCUCUCCCCAUCUCCCUCUGCUUCUGUUUCUGUCUCUCUCUCUGCCUACCCCUCCAUAUCUCUCUAUCUCUCCAAUGGUCUCCCUAG
rnacentral:lncRNA from 1 species